rnacentral:hammerhead_ribozyme from 1 species
AUCCAGCUGACGAGUCCCAAAUAGGGCGAAAAACGAGUCCUAGGU